GAUGGGUGAGGCUGCACAUAUCUACAAUCCUAGGUAGCAGGAGUCUGAGGCUAGUGGAGCUUUCUAGCUCAGGAGUCUUGAGUUGUAUUGGGCUGUGAUGGCUGGGGAUCCAUACUAAGUCCAGCAUUAAUAGAGUAAGUCCCAGGAGCAAAGGAUCCACCAAAUUUCCUACGGAGGGACAAAUCUGCCCAGGUCAGAAAUGAAGCAAGUCAAAGUUUCCUUGUCAAUCAGCAGUGGAAUCAGACCUGUGAGUAGCCACUGCACCUCAAGCCUGGGUGAGAUAGGGAGACAGUCUAGA
rnacentral:SRP_RNA from 1 species